AACAAGGUUUCCGUAGGUGAACCUGCGGAAGGAUCAUUACCGAGUGCGGGCCCUCGCGGCCCAACCUCCCACCCUUGUCUCUAUACACCUGUUGCUUUGGCGGGCCCACCGGGGCCACCUGGUCGCCGGGGGACGCACGUCUCCGGGCCCGCGCCCGCCGAAGCGCUCUGUGAACCCUGAUGAAGAUGGGCUGUCUGAGUACUGUGAAAAUUGUCAAAACUUUCAACAAUGGAUCUCUUGGUUCCGGCAUCGAUGAAGAACGCAGCGAAAUGCGAUAAGUAAUGUGAAUUGCAGAAUUCCGUGAAUCAUCGAAUCUUUGAACGCACAUUGCGCCCCCUGGCAUUCCGGGGGGCAUGCCUGUCCGAGCGUCAUUUCUGCCCUCAAGCACGGCUUGUGUGUUGGGUGUGGUCCCCCCGGGGACCUGCCCGAAAGGCAGCGGCGACGUCCGUCUGGUCCUCGAGCGUAUGGGGCUCUGUCACUCGCUCGGGAAGGACCUGCGGGGGUUGGUCACCACCAUGUUUUACCACGGUUGACCUCGGAUCAGGUAGGAGUUACCCGCUGAACUUAAGCAUAUCA
rnacentral:rRNA from 1 species